AAUCCGAGAAUUUCACCUCCAACAAUGCAAUACGAAUAGCCCCGCCUGUCUCUAUUAAUCAUUACGUGGGUGCGCAAACCAACAAAAUAGUACCUACGUCCUAUCUUAUUAUUCCAUGCUAAUAUAUUCAACGGCAUAAGCCUGCUUUAAACACUCUAAUUUUUUCACAGUAAACGAUGGGUAUCCCCUGCCCGACAACUUAAUGCCAAACAGGAUAUCCCCAAAGAUGGCCAGAGACAUCCAAGUUCCCGCACUGAGUGUGAGACCGGACGCUCCUGCCAGAAAUCCAACUACGAGCUUUUUAACUGCAACAACUUUAAUAUACGCUAUUGGAGCUGGAAUUACC
rnacentral:misc_RNA from 1 species